rnacentral:snoRNA from 1 species
GUGGCUGUCUCUCUUCCUAGGCAUGGAAGAGCAGUUCCUUGCUAAUUGGCAAAACUUUUACCCUUUUUUGUGGGUAUUAGUCGUUGACUGUAGCAAGUAACAGGC